AGGACGAACGCUGGCGGCGUGCUUAACACAUGCAAGUGGAGCGACGAACCGGGGCUUGCCCCGGGGCAGAGCCGCGAACGGGUGAGUAACACGUGGGUAACCUACCCCGAUGACCGGGACAACCCGAGGAAACUCGGGCUAAUACCGGAUGUGCUCCUUGACUUCGAGGUCAAGGCGUAAAGAUAGCUUCGGCCUUCGCAUCGGGACGGGCCCGCGGCCCAUUAGCUUGUUGGUGGGGUAACGGCCUACCAAGGCGACGAUGGGUAGC
rnacentral:rRNA from 1 species